GGGACACGGGGAUAACUUUGGGGGAGCAAGGAGAUGAAUCUCUCCCUUUCAAGCGCGUCUCUCUCGGCCCCGAGGGAAGGAGAGGCGGGAGAUGCGCUUUGGGACGCGGUGGGAGCCCGGCUUUAGGCAGCGGAAGGAGCCUCCAUUUGCUGACCAGCGUUCGGUGCUUGCAUUUGCCGAGGAGACCUGGGUCAGAUUGGACCUCAGAUACCCACUGGCUGACGGGCAGUUCCCGGAACCUCUGCCCCAGUUUCGGGCCGAGGAGACCCCAGGACGGGGGAAGCUGAUAUCGGCGACGGGCUCGUGGAGCGUCUGAGGAACGGGACGGCCCCUUUUCGGGGGCCCUUUAACCUCUGGACUGCUGUGAAAAAAGGGGAUCGGGUUCAGGGACCUGAGGUCCCUCCCGCUCUAGCCUGUCAGCCUGUCGUCUGGGAAAACUGAGGCACCUUCGUUGCUUCCCAUUACUCCCCACUUUCAUCGGGUCCCAGGGCGGGCUGCAGGUGGGGGUGGGGAAGCGCCUGAGGUCCCGGUCUUUCUGUCCAAACCUGCCUGACUCCGCCCCGUCCAGCUGCCGCCGCGCCCCCGUGGGCCGGAGCUUCAAGUCCGCACAUGCUCGGAGGGUCUUCAGGCAGAGCGUUCCAGCUGGCCAAAUCUCCAUGGCAACCCGCCUAGCCCGGCCCCUUCAUUGCCCCCAAUUACUCUCCAUAUUCAUUCGGUUCUUAAGGGAGAAUUCCCUCUUUGUUUUUGGAGGCAAACUUUGGGGCGGACCGAGAAAGCGGCGACGUAUUUGGAGCUCGGCUUUAGAGAAUCACUUCGGCAGCCGAAAGGAGAAUGGGUUGGAGUAAAGCCAGAGUUGAGGCAGACGGACUGACCAUCGCUAUUGCAGUUGUCCAGGCGUGAAAUGAUAAAGACCGGCGCCGGAGGCUUUAAGUAUUUAAAGAUGGCAGGGUCAGAGGAGAGAAGGGGGCGUCCCUGAGAGAUGCUGCAAAGCCUGACAGAAGCAAUGAAGCUUGUCCCAAGUCUCUUUCUCUUCUCCCUGGUCCUGGGUGUCAACAGCCAGAAUUGGUUUCAAAGCACUGUGGAUUUCCUCAAUCAGGCUUGCCUAGGUGUUGCGGACAUGUGGAGAGCCUACCAGCACAUGCGGGAAGCCAACUAUAAAAAUUCAGACAAAUACUUCCAAUACUAUGAUGCUGCCUGGAGAGGACCUGGUGGGGCUUGGAUAGCUGAAGUGAUCAGGUAUGAAUUUUUGAAUGGUUCUGAAAAUGGAGCAUAUUUGACCUGUCUGGGGUCUCUCAGAAGCUUCAAAAGCUGAACUUCCUGAGGCUGCUGCUUCUUCUGUUUCCCAGUGGCCAAAGCAGGUUCCUGAGCGGUGGCUAUCAGUCUUGUCUGAGCAGCAGAGGAAAACACCAGGGCUUCAUGUGCUGUCAGUAUUGACCUUGCAUCAAAUGAGAGGCAGCUUGUGGAGAGGAUUUGGUUUUUUCUUUUAAAGCAUUUUUUAUUUGUAGUUAUUCUGAACUUGUCUGACACCAUCACAGGAACAUUUCCAUAUAGAAAGAAUAACAAAAUGGAAGUCUUUAUCUGUCACUGUGAAUCUCUGUUAUUGCCGAUUGUAAAAGCAUAUUAUCUAUUCAAUAUGUUAGUCCCCAAACUGUCCUGGUUGUCAGGGUCUACCCAUAAACUUCCUUUUGUUUCCUCUGUGCUUUCUUAGAUGCUUCACUGAUGCUAUUUUUCUUUUUUCAAUCUUACUGCUCUUCU